GUUGAGUAUGAGAUCUUCUGAUACGGAUGGUGAAUCUGAGAUUGCAAGAACGGUGGUGCGAGAGGUAACACAGAUUUUUGGAGAAUUUAAUGUAUCUGAUUUUAUAUGGUUUUGCAAAAACAUAGAUUUUCAGGGUUUUCGAAAGAGAAUCGAAGACAUAUAUAACAAGUAUGAUGGGUUGCUUGAGAAACUCAUCACUAGCCGUGAACAGCUGAGGAAGAAGAACAGAAGCAAUGAAGUAGUGCAUGAGGCCAAAGAUUUUCUUGAUAUAAUGCUUGAUGUUAUG
rnacentral:misc_RNA from 1 species